rnacentral:rRNA from 1 species
AAAUUGAAGAGUUUGAUCAUGGCUCAGAUUGAACGCUGGCGGCAGGCCUAACACAUGCAAGUCGAACGGUAACAGAAAGAAGCUUGCUUCUUUGCUGACGAGUGGCGGACGGGUGAGUAAUGUCUGGGAAACUGCCUGAUGGAGGGGGAUAACUACUGGAAACGGUAGCUAAUACCGCAUAAGGUCGCAAGACCAAAGAGGGGGACCUUCGGGCCUCUUGCCAUCGGAUGUGCCCAGAUGGGAUUAGCUAGUAGGUGGGGUAACGGCUCACCUAGGCGACGAUCCCUAGCUGGUCUGAGAGGAUGACCAGCCACACUGGAACUGAGACACGGUCCAGACUCCUACGGGAGGCAGCAGUGGGGAAUAUUGCACAAUGGGCGCAAGCCUGAUGCAGCCAUGCCGCGUGUAUGAAGAAGGCCUUCGGGUUGUAAAGUACUUUCAGCGGGGAGGAAGGGAGUAAAGUUAAUACCUUU